rnacentral:rRNA from 1 species
ACUCCUACGGGAGGCAGCAGUAGGGGAAUCUUCCACAAUGGGCGAAAAGCCUGAUGGAGCAAUGCCGCGUGAGUGAAGAAGGUUUUCGGAUCGUAAAAACUCUGUUGUUGAAGAAGAACAUGCGUGAGAGUAACUGUUCACGUACUGACGGUAUUCAACCAGAAAGCCACGGCUAACUACGUGCCAGCAGCCGCGGUAAUACGUAGGUGGCAAGCGUUGUCCGGAUUUAUUGGGGCGUAAAGAGAAUGUAGGCGGUUUUAUUAAGUUUGAAGUGAAAGCCCUCGGCUCAACCGAGGAAGUGCUUCGAAAACUGGUAAACUUGAGUGCAGAAGAGGAAAGUGGAACUCCAUGUGUAGCGGUGGAAUGCGUAGAUAUAUGGAAGAACACCAGUGGCGAAGGCGGCUUUCUGGUCUGUAACUGACGCUGAGAUUCGAAAGCAUGGGUAGCAAACAGGAUUAGAUACCCUGGUAGGAUAGCG